AUCUGCCUACGGGAGGCAGCAGUGAGGAAUAUUGGUCAAUGGUCGGGAGACUGAACCGGCCACGCCGCGUGAGAGAUGAAGGUACAGAGUAUCGUAAACCUCUUUUGUCAGGGAACAAAGGCGGGGACGUGUCCCCGGAUGAGUGUACCUGAAGAAAAAGCAUCGGCUAACUCCGUGCCAGCAGCCGCGGUAAUACGGAGGAUGCGAGCGUUAUCCGGAUUUAUUGGGUUUAAAGGGUGCGCAGGCGGUCUGGUAAGUCAGCGGUCAAAGCCCGAGGCUCAACCCCGGCCCGCCGUUGAAACUGG
rnacentral:rRNA from 1 species